CGAUUCUUGGACUCUCCGGAGACGGAACCAGCGGGCACACUCCAAGACCAAGUCAUUGCAGCGAUAGAGAUUCUGAUGACAUCGCAACUGAGCCAAUGUAUGAUGCAGCACCGGGUCUGUAUUGCGAGUCGGGAGAAGCUGGAGACACAUCAUUCGAGCCAGCAUGUGAGGCGGGCCAUGUCACCGAUAAGUCUGUUCAAGUGCGACUAGUAACCCGCCACGAAGCAUCACAAGCAGAUGAAAAGAAAAUUCUGUCAACGAGUGCUACACAAACAGAGGCUCAAGCUGUUUCUUCAG